rnacentral:rRNA from 1 species
AUUGAACGCUGGCGGCAGGCUUAACACAUGCAAGUCGAGCGGGGAAGGGUAGCUUGCUACCUAACCUAGCGGCGGACGGGUGAGUAAUGCUUAGGAAUCUGCCAUUUAGUGGGGGACAACAUUCCGAAAGGAAUGCUAAUACCGCAUACGUCCUACGCGAGAAAGCAGGGGAUCUACGGACCUUGCGCUCAAUUAUGAGCCCAAGUCGGAUUAGCUAGUUGGUGGGGUAAAGGCCUACCAAGGCGACGAUCUGUAGCGGGUCUGAGAGGAUGAUCCGCCACACUGGGACUGAGACACGGCCCAGACUCCUACGGGAGGCAGCAGUGGGGAAUAUUGGACAAUGGGCGGAAGCCUGAUCCAGCCAUGCCGCGUGUGUGAAGAAGGCCUUAUGGUUGUAAAGCACUUUAAGCGAGGAGGAGGCUACUAGUAUUAAUACUACUGGAUAGUGGACGUUACUCGCAGAAUAAGCACCGGCUAACUCUGUGCCAGCAGCCGCGGUAA